AAAAAGUGCUUGUGUGAAUGUUAGCUAUUAUUAUUAUUAUCAUCCAAGGAAAGAAAAGAGUAGAUGACAAUUGUGCAGGAGAAAAUGGGGAAAGAAAAGGAGGAAGAAGAAUAAAAAACUGAAGAUUCCCAGCAUAUUUGAGAGAAACACCAAUGAAAUCAUCAGUGAUAUAAAAGAACUGAAGAAAAAAAAUCAGGAGACAUUAAUAUAGGAGGAAGCUCCCAACAAAACAAACAAAAGUCCUGCCUGGACGACAAGCUGUCUGUCAAGGGACCAUUCACUGGAAGCCCAACUGAGAAAUGGAACCAUUUCAGAGACGUGGUGACGGAAACAUCAAAGGCAGUCCUAGCCCCCAAACAACGCAACCACCAGGACUGGUUCAAGGAGAACAACACUGCUACUGAAGACCUAUUAA
rnacentral:lncRNA from 1 species